AACGAACGCUGGCGGCAUGCUUAACACAUGCAAGUCGAACGGAAAGGCCCGGCUUUUGUGGGCUCCUCUGGGGGCGAACGGGGGAGUAACACUUGGGUAAGCUGCCCUUGCCUGUGGGAGAACUUCAUGAAGCUGAGUCUAUUACCAGCUAGGAUCUCCUGCUUCAUGGUGGGGGUGGGAUAGUUUCGGCGGUUGGUGAUGGACUCGCGGCUUAUCGGAUUGUUGGUGGGGUAGUGGAUGAGCAAGGCUUUGACGGGUAGCCGGCCUGAGAGGGUGACCGGCCACACUGGGACUGAGAUAAGGCACAGACUACUACGGGACGCAGGGGAGGAGAAGAGUGUACAAUGGGAGGAAGCAUGAUGUAGCCAAGCAGCGCGCGGGAUGUCGGGAUGCGGGUUGUAAACCGAUUCUGUCUGUGACGAAGCGUGAGUGACGGUAACGGGUAAAGAAGCACCGGCUAACUACGUG
rnacentral:rRNA from 1 species